GUCUGGUCCGACCCUCUUAUGUAGAGGGGCAGGUUAGGAAUUUGUGAAAGUCCAGGAAACUUCUGCUUCAAGCAAAACAAUAAAGCCUCAGCUCUCUCAGCUAAGACAUAGUUUUUGUCAUUCUUGUAAGUGUCAGCCAUAAUGUCCUUUACUUCAUUCCAUGAUGACUUAGAAUGGCUCAAACAAGUUUUACGUCUCCAUGUAACUUAUUUUGAGACUUUGAAGAAGGUUGUUGGGUGAGAAUUUGUCGGUAGCACACAUACAACGGUAAAUCGUGUCCCCUAGACAUGCCCUUCC